AUGAACGCUGGCGGCGUGCCUAAUACAUGCAAGUCGCGCUAACAGACGAGGAGCUUGCUCCUCUGACGUUAGCGGCGGACGGGUGAGUAACACGUGGAUAACCUACCUAUAAGACUGGGAUAACUUCGGGAAACCGGAGCUAAUACCGGAUAAUAUAUUGAACCGCAUGGUUCAAUAGUGAAAGACGGUUUUGCUGUCACUUAUAGAUGGAUCCGCGCCGCAUUAGCUAGUUGGUAAGGUAACGGCUUACCAAGGCGACGAUGCGUAGCCGACCUGAGAGGGUGAUCGGCCACACUGGAACUGAGACACGGUCCAGACUCCUACGGGAGGCAGCAGUAGGGAAUCUUCCGCAAUGGGCGAAAGCCUGACGGAGCAACGCCGCGUGAGUGAUGAAGGUCUUCGGAUCGUAAAACUCUGUUAUUAGGGAAGAACAAAUGUGUAAGUAACUAUGCACGUCUUGACGGUACCUAAUCAGAAAGCCACGGCUAACUACGUG
rnacentral:rRNA from 1 species